UACGGAGGGUGCGAGCGUUGUCCGGAAUCACUGGGCGUAAAGGGCGCGUAGGUGGCCUGUGGAAGUCUGCGGUGAAAGCCCGGCGCUCAACGCCGGGUCGGCCGUGGAUACUCUCGGGCUUGAGCUUACUAGAGGCAGAUGGAAUUCCGGGUGUAGCGGUGGAAUGCGUAGAGGAUCCGGAAGAACACCGGUGGCGAAGGCGGCUACCUGGACAGAAACUGACGCUGAGGCGCGAAGCUAGGGGAGCAAACAGG
rnacentral:rRNA from 1 species